UCAGAGAGCAAUGGUCCUCCUGAAACUAAAAAGGAAACAAACGCAGAAGAUGAAGGGCUCUACUCUGUACAAUGUGGGUCGAGGGCUCCUGAGUUUCUCCUUCGAGAUAGCCCAGCACGGCCAAUCCUACCCAGUCAACCGCUGGCAAGUAACUGGCAGCAUCUCUUGUAGUCCAGCUGACUACGAACCGAGGAUGACCUUCACCUUCUGAUCUUUCUUCUACCAUCUACUCUGUGUUGGGAUUACAGGCGUUAGCCACAGGUCUGGACAGAGAAUUCUUUGUAAG